GACAGAGGGUGCAAACGUUGUUCGGAAUUACUGGGCGUAAAGCGUGUGUAGGCGGUCCUACAAGUCAGGUGUGAAAGCCCCGGGCUCAACCCGGGAAGUGCACUUGAUACUGUUUGACUAGAGUACUGGAGAGGUUGGUGGAAUUCUCGGUGUAGAGGUGAAAUUCGUAGAUAUCGAGAGGAACACCUGUGGCGAAGGCGGCCAACUGGACAGAUACUGACGCUGAGACACGAAAGCGUGGGGAGCAAACAGG
rnacentral:rRNA from 1 species